rnacentral:rRNA from 1 species
GACGAGGGGUCCUAGCGUUGUUCGGAAUUACUGGGCGUAAAGCGCAUGUAGGUGGUUUGACAAGUCAGGUGUGAAAGCCUCGGGCUCAACCCGAGAAGUGCAUUUGAUACUGUUAAACUUGAAUAUGGGAGAGGGUAGUAGAAUUCCUGGUGUAGUGGUGAAAUACGUAGAUAUCAGGAGGAAUACCGGAGGCGAAGGCGGCUACCUGGCCCAAUAUUGACACUGAGAUGCGAAAGCGUGGGGAUCAAACAGG